GACGAACGCUGGCGGCGUGCCUAAUACAUGCAAGUAGAACGAGUUUCGAACGGGUGAGUAACACGUAUAUAACUGCCUCAUUGCGGGGGGUAACACUUGGAAACGAUAGCUAAUACCCCAUACUGUGAGCUAUACCUGAGUUGGUUUAGCUAGUUGGUGAGGUAAAGGCUCACCAGGGCGACGAUCCAUAGCCGAUCUGAGAGGGUGAUCGGCCACACUGGGACUGAGACACGGCCCAGAAUCCUACGGGAGGCAGCAGUAGGGAAUCUUCCGCAAUGGACGGAAGUCUGACCGAGCAACGCCGCGUGAGUGAAGACGGUUUUCGGAUCGUAAAGCUCUGUUGUGCGAGAAGCGGUAACUAACUAGAAAGGCACGGCUAACUACGUGCCAGCCGCCGCGGUAAUAC
rnacentral:rRNA from 1 species